rnacentral:lncRNA from 1 species
GAGGAGUUGGUGAACAGCAGGAUGGAUGGGAUGUCAGUCAGCUGUGCCCCUGGCUACCCCUGUGCUUGAACAGUGGACUGUGAGUGGCGGCGUCAUGCAGAAGGAGCACAGGGUCCCAGGCCAGCAUCACUAUCCAGGAGCUUCAGGCAUGCUCCGUGUACCAACAUGGGAUCACGAAUCACAUCGCCUCAGGCCAAGAAAGCCAUUUUAUAGCGAAAGAGCCUUAGGAUCUGCUGGAUUAGAGCCUGUUUCCCAGGUAGGAACGCUUCCACGAGGGCACUCCUGCUGGUUGCAGGAAGGAUACCUCUGCUGAGCCUGAAUCUGCAAAGACCACCAGGUUACUCUCAGCUCCUCAUACUGGUGGACCAGCAGGCCACAAAGGAGGGGAUACUUGAUCCUGAUAAACGGUUAUGCUUGUUUGCUGAUGGAAAUGAUCCAGAAGAGAAGGACAAGUUGACGAUUGAGAGGGUUAAUGUCAGCCACCGUCUCGAGCUCAGCUUCAACCAUGGCCCUCCCCACAGGGCUCCAUCCCAAGCCAGAGCGGGUCAGUUCCCUACACAGGGCCCAGCAACACGGUGCCCAAGAAAAAGUGUUUCCAGUGGGACGCAUGUCG